AAUAGCAAUAUUUUCAAGAAACAACUUUUUAAAUUCUAAUUUAAUAGAAGUCAAGUUAUGGUCUGAGAGAUAACUUAAAAAUGGUAAGUUAUUUAGGAACAAGAUAAAAGGCAAAACACCAAACUUCAUACAAACUUAAAUGUUUGACAUUUAAAAAUUAAAGAGAUUUUUUUUAACGUGUAUUUGAGACAAAUAAGCCAACCUUGGUACAUAACCGCUGAAAACUAAAAAACCGUACCCUAAACCAACACAGGUGGAUAGGUCGAGUAGACUAAGGUGUAUGAGAUAAUUAUGUUGAAGGAACUCGGCAAAAUGACUCUGUAACUUCGGGAGAAAGAGUACCUUUUUAUUUAAGUGUUUAUCGACGAAAUAAUAAGAAG
rnacentral:rRNA from 1 species